ACUACCAGUUCUUCGAAAUCUACGGUGGUGUUAACAACUGGAACCGGGAUGUUCCAGACCAGAAUCUAGAUUUUAAGCCGGUUGAAGAUUUGUUUGGUCGAGAUGGUGGAUUAAAAUCCAGAUCACUGGAUUUCAUGGGAUUAAUGUGACGGAAGAGUCUUUGUACAUAAAUGCUGCUGGCUGGAAAUGAGAUGGUGGAUUGUAGUGGAUUACAACAUUGGAUUUAUAAGUCACAGUGCCUCCUGAAUCACGGCAUUUGUAUAGCAGUUGUCAUGGGAUUAAUGUGACGUUAAGUAUGUGUAUAAAUCGCAUGAUAUUCUUCGCAAUGGCCGUGGGAUUAAUGCGUUGUAUUUUUGUGCGUAAAUCGUUGGAUUUUCUUAGCAAUGGCCAAGGGAUUAAUGUGACGUUUUUCUUCGUAAAUCGCUGGAUUUUCUUAGCAGUGGACAUUGAAUUAAUGUGACGUAUGUGCAUAAAUCGCAGGAUUUUCUUAGCAGUGGUCAUGGGAUUAAUAUGAUGUAAACGAUUUUACCUGAAAGAAUUUUAUUUCAAGUUCUGUCCAACGACGACCACGAGCAGUACUUUUGAAGAAGCCACUUCAAUUAGUACUAUGAAGUAUUAUGUCGUGGCACCAGAAGGAGAAUAGUAGGAAAGCACUCGUCUUCACUGGAAUGUUAGUGAAGUGGACAGGAGAGCAGUAGCAUCAUCUGCCUACGCUGACCUUCCUGCCGUUUUCGCCCUUAUUUGAUA